rnacentral:rRNA from 1 species
UACAGAGGGGGCAAGCGUUAUUCGGAAUUAUUGGGCGUAAAGGGCGCGUAGGCGGCUUUGCAAGUGGCGGGUGAAAUCCCUCGGCUUAACCGAGGAACUGCCUGUCAAACUGCAUGGCUUGAGACCAGGAGAGGUGAGUGGAAUUCCCAGUGUAGUGGUGGAAUGCGUAGAUAUCGGGAGGAACACCAGUGGCGAAGGCGGUUGCCUGGAGCUUUGCUGACGCUGAUGCGCGAAAGCGUGGGGAGCGAUCCGG